CCUGUCUCUAGAAGCAUUGCUGGUGUGGCUGCUCUGUCCCAUGUGCAUCAAUGAGUGGCAGAGGAGAGGCUAUGUCAAGGCUCAGCGUUUUGACCUAUGACCAUCUGAAUGAUUAGUAGCCUAACAUU
ensembl:snoRNA LOC120096812 small nucleolar RNA SNORA17